GCUGGGCGUGGUGGCGUGUGCUUGUAAUCCCUGUUACUUGGGAGGCUGAGGCAGAAGAAUCGCUUGAACCAGGGAGCUGGAGGUUGCAGUGAGCCGAGAUCGCACCACUGUACUCCAGCCUGGUGAUAGAGCGAGACUCCGCCUCAA
rnacentral:SRP_RNA from 1 species